rnacentral:rRNA from 1 species
AGAGUUUGAUCCUGGCUCAGAUUGUACGCUGGCGGCAGGCUUCACACAUGCAAGUCGAACGGUAACAGGAGAAAGCUUGCUUUCUUGCUGACGAGUGGCGGACGGGUGAGUAAUGCUUGGGAAUCUGGCUUAUGGAGGGGGAUAACUACGGGAAACUGUAGCUAAUACCGCGUAAUAUCUUCGGAUUAAAGGGUGGGACUUUCGGGCCACCUGCCAUAAGAUGAGCCCAAGUGGGAUUAGGUAGUUGGUGGGGUAAAGGCCUACCAAACCGACGAUCUCUAGCUGGUCUGAGAGGAUGACCAGCCACACUGGAACUGAGACACGGUCCAGACUCCUACGGGAGGCAGCAGUGGGGAAUAUUGCACAAUGGGGGGAACCCUGAUGCAGCCAUGCCGCGUGAAUGAAGAAGGCCUUCGGGUUGUAAAGUUCUUUCGGUGAUGAGGAAGGUGUUUGUUUUAAUAGAACAAGCAAUUGACGUUAGUCACAGAAGAAGCACCGGCUAACUCCGUGCCAGCAGCCGCGGUAAUACGUAGGGGGCUAGCGUUAUCCGGAAUUACUGGGCGUAAAGGGUGCGUAGGUGGUUUCUUAAGUCAGAGGUGAAAGGCUACGGCUCAACCGUAGUAAGCCUUUGAAACUGGGAAACUUGAGUGCAGGAGAGGAGAGUGGAAUUCCUAGUGUAGCGGUGAAAUGCGUAGAUAUUAGGAGGAACACCAGUUGCGAAGGCGGCUCUCUGGACUGUAACUGACACUGAGGCACGAAAGCGUGGGGAGCAAACAGGAUUAGAUACCCUGGUAGUCCACGCCGUAAACGAUGAGUACUAGCUGUCGGAGGUUACCCCCUUCGGUGGCGCAGCUAACGCAUUAAGUACUCCGCCUGGGAAGU